UAAAAAAGACCAAAACCCUAAUCUUCUUAUCCCACUUCAGCCGCCUACAUCUUCUCCUCUCAUCCGUUUGUUCUCUGCAACCUGUCUAACCACACAAAUAAAAGAAGCUUGCUCUUAAUUUCUGUACACACAUAACCACCUCCAUCACCUUCUUGUUUCCCCUCUCCAUCUUGGACAGCCGGCGGUGGCCGGUGAAGGUCACCGGUGAAGGAAACAGUGGACAAAGAGAGGGAGACGCGAUGAGAGAGAGAGAGCAAGAAAUCGGAGAAGAGAAGCCGAACGGAAACGGGUUCGACAUGCUUCAGCUCGGGUCUUAGUUUGGUUCAAGUUCUAGUUGGUUUCUAUCAGGUCAUGGCUCCAGUUUUCGGUUUAAGAUUCAAUUCUGGUCCGGGAGCUAUGGGUCAGACUCGAGCUUCGGUUCAGCAGGUUCGGGUCCGGUUCCGUCUACGUCGAGUCAACGGGUCAGUCAGUUCAGAUUAGAGGCGGACAACGAGUCGGGCCAACCCGGUCAGAUGUCACCGGAGCCGUACGGAGAUCACCACGGGAAUCCUCUCAUUUUGUUCGGAUGACCGUUACGUUCGUUCCUUUGGAUUUCCAACCCCUUCCUCGCGUGUUAUUCCAAGAAAUCCUUAUACGCAACCAAUGUGGAUGUUGACGAUGCAUGGAAUCUAGUAGGAUGCUUAGAUACACACUUAAAAAUUUGUAUUCAUGUCGUAUUAUUUCAUUAUUCAUGAUGUUGUAUUUUGUUUCGAAACCUUGAAAUUGAUUCUUUAGAAAUGGAAGGAAAUUAUUAUUUAAA